AAUUUUAUAUUUAUUUUCAUUAAAAAGUUAAACGUGCUUAUUGUAGGCCUUUUUACAUGUCGUGCUUUAGCCCGCCUUUAAUCUUGUUGUGUUUUUUAGGUUUGCAUGCCUAAAAUUCUAAACUCAACCCAGCCCACGUGUGUGUUGUUUAUGCUGUGUGCCCCACUAAGACGUGCUCAUGCAUGCCGUGCUAUGUGGACACGUGCCGUACCUGUGUCAUUCCACGUGCCGUCUAGCCUGUUGGCCAUCUCUAUUUAUGAUUACCCUACAGUAGAAAUCAAUGACCCCUAAAGUAACACUACUAGAAGAAAAGGAAGAUUUGAUGUAUUAUAGCAUUUAGUAUAAUGUGAACGUAGUAUUUAUUACUUUUAUUUUUAUCAAAUUUUUAUAUUGUGUUAAAAAUUUAAUCAUAUU
rnacentral:lncRNA from 1 species